GCGGGACUUGAAGAUAGGUUAUCCGUGUAGCCUUCGCUUUACUUGUGACGAAUCAUACACGGUUCACCUAUUUUUCAGUACCAA
rnacentral:pre_miRNA from 1 species